rnacentral:sRNA from 1 species
CCAUAGCCCCGAUUGCAACGGAUACCCCACAGCUAGCGAUGGGAAAUGCAUUGGCGCGAGGAGUAGCAGUGAAAAGCGGGAAAUAGC